UUAAGUUAUUAAGGGCGCACGGUGGAUGCCUUGGCACUAGAAGCCGAUGAAGGACGUUACUAACGACGAUAUGCUUUGGGGAGCUGUAAGUAAGCUUUGAUCCAGAGAUUUCCGAAUGGGGAAACCCAGCAUGAGUUAUGUCAUGUUAUCGAUAUGUGAAUACAUAGCAUAUCAGAAGGCACACCCGGAGAACUGAAACAUCUUAGUACCCGGAGGAAGAGAAAGAAAAUUCGAUUCCCUUAGUAGCGGCGAGCGAAACGGGAAGAGCCCAAACCAACAAGCUUGCUUGUUGGGGUUGUAGGACACUCUAUACGGAGUUACAAAGGACGACAUUAGACGAAUCAUCUGGAAAGAUGAAUCAAAGAAGGUAAUAAUCCUGUAGUCGAAAAUGUUGUCUCUCUUGAGUGGAUCCUGAGUACGACGGAGCACGUGAAAUUCCGUCGGAAUCUGGGAGGACCAUCUCCUAAGGCUAAAUACUCUCUAGUGACCGAUAGUGAACCAGUACCGUGAGGGAAAGGUGAAAAGCACCCCGGAAGGGGAGUGAAAUAGAACCUGAAACCGUGUGCUUACAAGUAGUCAGAGCCCGUUAAUGGGUGAUGGCGUGCCUUUUGUAGAAUGAACCGGCGAGUUACGAUUUGAUGCAAGGUUAAGCAGUAAAUGUGGAGCCGUAGCGAAAGCGAGUCUGAAUAGGGCGUUUAGUAUUUGGUCGUAGACCCGAAACCAGGUGAUCUACCCUUGGUCAGGUUGAAGUUCAGGUAACACUGAAUGGAGGACCGAACCGACUUACGUUGAAAAGUGAGCGGAUGAACUGAGGGUAGCGGAGAAAUUCCAAUCGAACCUGGAGAUAGCUGGUUCUCUCCGAAAUAGCUUUAGGGCUAGCCUCAAGUGAUGAUUAUUGGAGGUAGAGCACUGUUUGGACGAGGGGCCCCUCUCGGGUUACCGAAUUCAGACAAACUCCGAAUGCCAAUUAAUUUAACUUGGGAGUCAGAACAUGGGUGAUAAGGUCCGUGUUCGAAAGGGAAACAGCCCAGACCACCAGCUAAGGUCCCAAAAUAUAUGUUAAGUGGAAAAGGAUGUGGCGUUGCCCAGACAACUAGGAUGUUGGCUUAGAAGCAGCCAUCAUUUAAAGAGUGCGUAAUAGCUCACUAGUCGAGUGACACUGCGCCGAAAAUGUACCGGGGCUAAACAUAUUACCGAAGCUGUGGAUUGUCCUUUGGACAAUGGUAGGAGAGCGUUCUAAGGGCGUUGAAGCAUGAUCGUAAGGACAUGUGGAGCGCUUAGAAGUGAGAAUGCCGGUGUGAGUAGCGAAAGACGGGUGAGAAUCCCGUCCACCGAUUGACUAAGGUUUCCAGAGGAAGGCUCGUCCGCUCUGGGUUAGUCGGGUCCUAAGCUGAGGCCGACAGGCGUAGGCGAUGGAUAACAGGUUGAUAUUCCUGUACCACCUAUAAUCGUUUUAAUCGAUGGGGGGACGCAGUAGGAUAGGCGAAGCGUGCGAUUGGAUUGCACGUCUAAGCAGUAAGGCUGAGUAUUAGGCAAAUCCGGUACUCGUUAAGGCUGAGCUGUGAUGGGGAGAAGACAUUGUGUCUUCGAGUCGUUGAUUUCACACUGCCGAGAAAAGCCUCUAGAUAGAAAAUAGGUGCCCGUACCGCAAACCGACACAGGUAGUCAAGAUGAGAAUUCUAAGGUGAGCGAGCGAACUCUCGUUAAGGAACUCGGCAAAAUGACCCCGUAACUUCGGGAGAAGGGGUGCUCUUUAGGGUUAACGCCCAGAAGAGCCGCAGUGAAUAGGCCCAAGCGACUGUUUAUCAAAAACACAGGUCUCUGCUAAGCCGUAAGGUGAUGUAUAGGGGCUGACGCCUGCCCGGUGCUGGAAGGUUAAGAGGAGUGGUUAGCUUCUGCGAAGCUACGAAUCGAAGCCCCAGUAAACGGCGGCCGUAACUAUAACGGUCCUAAGGUAGCGAAAUUCCUUGUCGGGUAAGUUCCGACCCGCACGAAAGGCGUAACGAUUUGGGCACUGUCUCAACGAGAGACUCGGUGAAAUCAUAGUACCUGUGAAGAUGCAGGUUACCCGCGACAGGACGGAAAGACCCCGUGGAGCUUUACUGUAGCCUGAUAUUGAAAUUCGGCACAGCUUGUACAGGAUAGGUAGGAGCCUUUGAAACGUGAGCGCUAGCUUACGUGGAGGCGCUGGUGGGAUACUACCCUAGCUGUGUUGGCUUUCUAACCCGCACCACUUAUCGUGGUGGGAGACAGUGUCAGGCGGGCAGUUUGACUGGGGCGGUCGCCUCCUAAAAGGUAACGGAGGCGCUCAAAGGUUCCCUCAGAAUGGUUGGAAAUCAUUCAUAGAGUGUAAAGGCAUAAGGGAGCUUGACUGCGAGACCUACAAGUCGAGCAGGGUCGAAAGACGGACUUAGUGAUCCGGUGGUUCCGCAUGGAAGGGCCAUCGCUCAACGGAUAAAAGCUACCCCGGGGAUAACAGGCUUAUCUCCCCCAAGAGUUCACAUCGACGGGGAGGUUUGGCACCUCGAUGUCGGCUCAUCGCAUCCUGGGGCUGUAGUCGGUCCCAAGGGUUGGGCUGUUCGCCCAUUAAAGCGGUACGCGAGCUGGGUUCAGAACGUCGUGAGACAGUUCGGUCCCUAUCCGUCGUGGGCGUAGGAAAUUUGAGAGGAGCUGUCCUUAGUACGAGAGGACCGGGAUGGACAUACCUCUGGUGUACCAGUUGUCGUGCCAACGGCAUAGCUGGGUAGCUAUGUGUGGACGGGAUAAGUGCUGAAAGCAUCUAAGCAUGAAGCCCCCCUCAAGAUGAGAUUUCCCAACUUCGGUUAUAAGAUCCCUCAAAGAUGAUGAGGUUAAUAGGUUCGAGGUGGAAGCAUGGUGACAUGUGGAGCUGACGAAUACUAAUCGAUCGAAGACUUAAUCAA
rnacentral:rRNA from 1 species